UUCUGGCUCAGAACGAACGCUGGCGGCGUGGAUAAGACAUGCAAGUCGAACGGAUAUUAUCACAUUAGCAAUAAUGUGAUAAUAUUAGUGGCAAACGGGUGAGUAAUACGCAAAUACAUACCAAAGAGUUUGGAAUAACGCAAAGAAAUUUGUGCUAAUACCAAAUAACCUAUUAUAGGGAAAAGUUUAUCUGCUUUUUAAUUGGUUUUGCGGCCUAUCAGCUAGUUGGUGAGGUAAUGGCUCACCAAGGCUACAACGGGUAGCUGAUCUGAGAGGAUGAUCAGCCACACUGGAACUGAGAAACGGUCCAGACGCCUACGGGUGGCAGCAGUCGAGAAUCUUUCACAAUGGGGGGCAACCCUGAUGGAGCGACGCCGCGUGGAGGAUACGGUCUUCGGAUCUUAAACUCCUGUCAUGUAAGAAAAAUUGAUUGUACUACAAGAGGAAGAGGCGGCAAACUCUGUGCCAGCAGCCGCGGUAAUACAGA
rnacentral:rRNA from 1 species